rnacentral:rRNA from 1 species
GGAUCAAUAUGUUGGUCGUGCCUUGGUACGUACUAAUUUAUUGGUUUCUUCCUUCUGACGAACCAUGAUGUCAUUAAUUUGAUGUCAUGGGGAAUCAGGACUGUUACUUUGAAAAAAUUAGAGUGUUUAAAGCAGGCUCACGCUUGAAUACAUUAGCAUGGAAUAAUGAAAUAGGACGUUUGAUUCUAUUUUGUUGGUUUCUAGGAUCGACGUA